CAUCAGCGGAGUUCCUAAUUUUGCUUUCUGCUAUGACAGGACAGCACUGAGCUCAAUGCCUCACUUCAAUUGCUGUGCUUUCCCUCUCCCAAGUAGUCAGAUUCUCUCUGCCCACCCCUCAGCCUCUGCUAGGGGAUGGGGAGGUGGUGUUGGUGAUUCCAGACUGUUUUUCUUACCCCUUCAGUGCCUCUUUCAGUGAUACGAAGUUAAAACCAGGGUCUUGCUCUGUUGCUCUCUAGGAGUAGUGGUGCGAUCUUGGCUCAUUGCAAGCUCCACCUGCUGGGCUCAAGCCAUCCUCCAAAUGCAGCCUCCUGAGUAGCUGGGACUACAGCACACAGGUCAGCCUUGGUCUCCUCCGGGGAACCAUCUCGGACUGCCUUUCCUCUUCAUUAUGGCUUCCAUCCUACCUUGUGUGUCAUGGAAGGGACACUCCUACCCUGGUGCCCGUACUGGGUUCCUGUGUCUUACCCAGAGACGGUAAGUAGGCUGUAUGUGUGAUACCCUUCGGAGCUCCCAACGUUGGCCAACACGAUAAGGUGUAUGACACGGAUUAGGUGCCCAGUGAUCCCCAGCGGGGUGGAUGUGCUGAGCUUUGAAUGAGGGGCAUACUCAAGUAGGAAGUGGGAGCUGAACCGAGUGCUCCUGGCGGGGUAUCAGUGGGGUUCAGGGCUCACGGUGCAUGGGAGUUCCUGGUUGUACUAGUCAAUGCCUAAUCCCAUGCCUUCCAUCUGUAUUUCGACUGCAGGCAGCUGUGGUAAUGGUAAGGAAUGAACCAGCAGAGGAAUGCCUCCGUGAACUAAACACACCCACACGACAGAACACCAGGUGAAAGCCCCUGCUGCCACCUGCUGGCAAGGUACCCUCAGCUCCUGUCCUGACAAGAGAGUAACUUCUACACCCCUACACAACAGACUGAGCCACACCUCUGUGCCUCUGCACGUUCU